CUUUCAACCUGAGUCAAAAACCAGUGAACGUAACUCUGAUUGGCUGAGGCAGCAUAUCAUCAUAAUCCAACCUGUAACGUCAGCCACUCUGAUUGGCUGAGGCAACGUGCCAGGCAUGUGGCGUGUUAUUCAAGCAGAAAUAACGGCACAGAUAUUCAGCCUGCUUCGCCGUCAUGAUCGCUGGUGAACCCAUCUUUUCCUCUAAAUUGAAGGGGCUGUAAGGAGUGAGGUGUCCUUCGCUGAUGGGAGAAAAAACACCUAAACAAGAUGACUUUGAGCGUGAGACAGUGGUGAAAACGCCAAAGAGAACUGGAACAUGGCAUGU